rnacentral:rRNA from 1 species
CACUAUCGUUAACUGAAUACAUAGGUUAACGAGGCGAACCGGGGGAACUGAAACAUCUAAGUACCCCGAGGAAAAGAAAUCAACCGAGAUUCCCCCAGUAGCGGCGAGCGAACGGGGAGCAGCCCAGAGUCUGAAUCAGCUUGUGUGUUAGUGGAACGGUCUGGAAAGUCCGACGGUACAGGGUGAUAGUCCCGUACACCAAAAUGCACAGGCUGUGAACUCGAAGAGUAGGGCGGGACACGUGGUAUCCUGUCUGAAUAUGGGGGGACCAUCCUCCAAGGCUAAAUACUCCUGACUGACCGAUAGUGAACCAGUACCGUGAGGGAAAGGCGAAAAGAACCCCGGCGAGGGGAGUGAAAAAGAACCUGAAACCGUGUACGUACAAGCAGUGGGAGCACCUUCGGGUGUGACUGCGUACCUUUUGUAUAAUGGGUCAGCGACUUAUAUUCUGUAGCAAGGUUAACCGUAUAGGGGAGCCGCAGGGAAACCGAGUCUUAACUGGGCGUUAAGUUGCAGGGUAUAGACCCGAAACCCGGUGAUCUAGCCAUGGGCAGGUUGAAGGUUGGGUAACACUAACUGGAGGACCGAACCGACUAAUGUUGAAAAAUUAGCGGAUGACUUGUGGCUGGGGGUGAAAGGCCAAUCAAACCGGGAGAUAGCUGGUUCUCCCCGAAAGCUAUUUAGGUAGCGCCUCGUGAAUUCAUCUUCGGGGGUAGAGCACUGUUUCGGCUAGGGGGUCAUCCCGACUUACCAACCCGAUGCAAACUACGAAUACCGAAGAAUGUUAUCACGGGAGACACACGGCGGGUGCUAACGUCCGUCGUGAAGAGGGAAACAACCCAGACCGCCAGCUAAGGUCCCAAAGUCAUGGUUAAGUGGGAAACGAUGUGGGAAGGCACAGACAGCCAGGAUGUUGGCUUAGAAGCAGCCAUCAUUUAAAGAAAGCGUAAUAGCUCACUGGUCGAGUCGGCCUGCGCGGAAGAUGUAACGGGGCUAAACCAUGCACCGAAGCUGCGGCAGCGACACUAUGUGUUGUUGGGUAGGGGAGCGUUCUGUAAGCCUGCGAAGGUGACCUGUGAGGGUUGCUGGAGGUAUCAGAAGUGCGAAUGCUGACAUAAGUAACGAUAAAGCGGGUGAAAAGCCCGCUCGCCGGAAGACCAAGGGUUCCUGUCCAACGUUAAUCGGGGCAGGGUGAGUCGACCCCUAAGGCGAGGCCGAAAGGCGUAGUCGAUGGGAAACAGGUUAAUAUUCCUGUACUUGGUGUUACUGCGAAGGGGGGACGGAGAAGGCUAUGUUAGCCGGGCGACGGUUGUCCCGGUUUAAGCAUGUAGGCUGGUUGUCCAGGCAAAUCCGGAUAAUCAAGGCUGAGGUGUGAUGACGAGGCACUACGGUGCUGAAGUAACAAAUGCCCUGCUUCCAGGAAAAGCCUCUAAGCAUCAGGUAACAUCAAAUCGUACCCCAAACCGACACAGGUGGUCAGGUAGAGAAUACCAAGGCGCUUGAGAGAACUCGGGUGAAGGAACUAGGCAAAAUGGUGCCGUAACUUCGGGAGAAGGCACGCUGGUGUGUAGGUGAAGUCCCUGCGGAUGGAGCUGAGACCAGUCGAAGAUACCAGCUGGCUGCAACUGUUUAUUAAAAACACAGCACUGUGCAAACACGAAAGUGGACGUAUACGGUGUGACGCCUGCCCGGUGCCGGAAGGUUAAUUGAUGGGGUUAUCCGUAAGGAGAAGCUCUUGAUCGAAGCCCCGGUAAACGGCGGCCGUAACUAUAACGGUCCUAAGGUAGCGAAAUUCCUUGUCGGGUAAGUUCCGACCUGCACGAAUGGCGUAAUGAUGGCCAGGCUGUCUCCACCCGAGACUCAGUGAAAUUGAACUCGCUGUGAAGAUGCAGUGUACCCGCGGCAAGACGGAAAGACCCCGUGAACCUUUACUAUAGCUUGACACUGAACAUUGAGCCUUGAUGUGUAGGAUAGGUGGGAGGCUUUGAAGCGUGGACGCCAGUCUGCGUGGAGCCAACCUUGAAAUACCACCCUUUAAUGUUUGAUGUUCUAACGUUGGCCCCUUACCGGGGUUGCGGACAGUGUCUGGUGGGUAGUUUGACUGGGGCGGUCUCCUCCCAAAGCGUAACGGAGGAGCACGAAGGUUAGCUAAUCCUGGUCGGACAUCAGGAGGUUAGUGCAAUGGCAUAAGCUAGCUUGACUGCGAGCGUGACGGCGCGAGCAGGUGCGAAAGCAGGUCAUAGUGAUCCGGUGGUUCUGAAUGGAAGGGCCAUCGCUCAACGGAUAAAAGGUACUCCGGGGAUAACAGGCUGAUACCGCCCAAGAGUUCAUAUCGACGGCGGUGUUUGGCACCUCGAUGUCGGCUCAUCACAUCCUGGGGCUGAAGUAGGUCCCAAGGGUAUGGCUGUUCGCCAUUUAAAGUGGUACGCGAGCUGGGUUUAGAACGUCGUGAGACAGUUCGGUCCCUAUCUGCCGUGGGCGCUGGAGAAUUGAGGGGGGCUGCUCCUAGUACGAGAGGACCGGAGUGGACGCAUCACUGGUGUUCGGGUUGUCAUGCCAAUGGCACUGCCCGGUAGCUAAAUGCGGAAGAGAUAAGUGCUGAAAGCAUCUAAGCACGAAACUUGCCCCGAGAUGAGUUCUCCCUGAGACUUUAAGUCUCCUGAAGGAACGUUAAAGACGAUGACGUUGAUAGGCCGGGUGUGUAAGCGCAGCGAUGCGUUGAGCUAACCGGUACUAAUGAACCGUGAGGCUUAACCUU